rnacentral:rRNA from 1 species
AUCCUGGCUCAGGAUGAACGCUAGCGGAGGCUUAACACAUGCAAGUCGAGGGGUAACAGGAAUAGCUUGCUAUUUGCUGACGACCGGCGCACGGGUGAGUAACGCGUAUGCAACCCACCUUUUACUGGAGAAUAGCCUUUAGAAAUGAAGAUUAAUACUCCAUAAUAAUUAAGACUCUCCUGAGUUUUAAUUUAAAGUUUCGGCGGUAAAAGAUGAGCAUGCGUCCCAUUAGCUAGUUGGUGAGGUAACGGCUCACCAAGGCGACGAUGGGCAGGCGUCCUGAGAGGGAGAUCCCCCACACUGGUACUGAGACACGGACCAGACUCCUACGGGAGGCAGCAGUGAGGAAUAUUGGACAAUGGAGGAGACUCUGAUCCAGCCAUGCCGCGUGCAGGAAGACGGCCCUAUGGGUUGUAAACUGCUUUUAUACAGGAAGAAACCACUCUACGUGUAGAGUGCUGACGGUACUGUAAGAAUAAGCACCGGCUAACUCCGUGCCAGCAGCUGCGGUAAUACGGAGGGUGCAAGCGUUAUCCGGAUUUAUUGGGUUUAAAGGGUACGUAGGCGGCAGGGUCAGUCAGUGGUGAAAUACAACAGCUUAACUGUAGAACUGCCAUUGAAACUGUCUUUCUUGAAUAUAGAUGAAGUGGGCGGAAUAUAUCAUGUAGCGGUGAAAUGCAUAGAUAUGAUAUAGAACACCGAUUGCGAAGGCAGCUCACUAAACUAUUACUGACGCUGAGGGACGAAAGUGUGGGGAGCGAACAGGAUUAGAUACCCUGGUAGUCCACGCUGUAAACGAUGAUCACUCGAUAUUGGCAAUAUACAGUCAGUGGCUGAGCGAAAGCAUUAAGUGAUCCACCUGGGGAGUACGCUCGCAAGAGUGAAACUCAAAGGAAUUGACGGGGGCCCGCACAAGCGGUGGAGCAUGUGGUUUAAUUCGAUGAUACGCGAGGAACCUUACCAGGGCUUAAAUGCAGAACGACCGGCUGGGAAACCAGCCUUUCUUCGGACGGUCUGCAAGGUGCUGCAUGGUUGUCGUCAGCUCGUGCCGUGAGGUGUCGGGUUAAGUCCCAUAACGAGCGCAACCCCUAUCCUUAGUUGCCAGCGAGUAAUGUCGGGGACUCUAAGGAAACUGCCCGUGUAAACGGUGAGGAAGGUGGGGAUGACGUCAAAUCAUCACGGCCCUUACGUCCUGGGCUACACACGUGCUACAAUGGAGAGUACAGAGGGCAGCUAUCUGGUGACAGAAUGCAAAUCUCUAAAGCUUUCCUAAGUUCGGAUUGAAGUCUGCAACUCGACUUCAUGAAGCUGGAAUCGCUAGUAAUCGCGCAUCAGCCAUGGCGCGGUGAAUACGUUCCCGGGCCUUGUACACACCGCCCGUCAAGCCAUGGAAGCCGGGGGUGCCUGAAGUCAGGUAACCGCAAGGAGCUGCACUAGGGUAAAAUCAGUAACUGGGGCUAAGUCGU